UACGAAGGGUGCAAGCGUUACUCGGAAUUACUGGGCGUAAAGCGUGCGUAGGUGGUUUGUUAAGUCUGUUGUGAAAGCCCCGGGCUCAACCUGGGAAUGGCAUUGGAAACUGGCUUGCUGGAGUGUGGCAGAGGGGGGGUAGAAUUCCACGUGUAGCAGUGAAAUGCGUAGAGAUGUGGAGGAAUACCGAUGGCGAAGGCAGCCCCCUGGGCCAAUACUGACGCUCAUGCACGAAAGCGUGGGGAGCAAACAGG
rnacentral:rRNA from 1 species